rnacentral:ncRNA from 1 species
ACACCAGGGGUGGAGCCUGUGGCUUAAUUUGAAUCAACACGGUGGAAACUUACCAGGACCAGAUGUUUUUUAUGACUGACAGGCUUCGGGUCUUUCAGGAUAUUGUUUUUGGUGGUGCAUGGCCGUUGGUGGUGCGUGGGUUGACCUGUCUAGCGUUGAUUCAGCUAACGAGCGAGAUUAUCGCCAAUUAUUUACUUUGCCGAAGUCCUUCGGUUAAAGUUCUAAUUGGGACUCCCUGCGAUUUUAGCAGGUGGAAGAGGGUAGCAAUAACAGGUCCGUGAUGCCCUUUAGAUGCUCUGGGCUGCACGCGUGCUACAAUGUUAGGAUCAAUAGGACUGCGAGCCUGAGAGGGUGCGCUACUCUUAUAAUCCCUAACGUAGUUGGGAUUGACGUUUGUAAUCAGCGUCAUGAACCAGGAAUCCCUUGUAAAUGUGUGUCAACAACGCACGUUGAAUACGUCCCUGCCCUUUGUACACACCGCCCGUCGCUCCUACCGAUUGGAUGACUCGGUGAAAUCACCGGAUGCUUACGAGCAGAAAGUGAUUAAAUCACGUUAUCUAGAGGAAGGAGAAGUCGUAACAAGGUAACGGUAGGUGAACCUGCCGUUGGAUCAGUU